rnacentral:rRNA from 1 species
GACGAACGCUGGCGGCGUGCUUAACACAUGCAAGUCGAACGCAAAGGCCCUGCUUUUGUGGGGUGCUCGAGUGGCGAACGGGUGAGUAACACGUGAGUAACCUGCCCUUGACUUUGGGAUAACUUCAGGAAACUGGGGCUAAUACCGGAUAGGAGCUCCUGCUGCAUGGUGGGGGUUGGAAAGUCUCGGCGGUUGGGGAUGGACUCGCGGCUUAUCAGCUUGUUGGUGGGGUAGUGGCAUACCAAGGCUUUGACGGGUAGCCGGCCUGAGAGGGUGACCGGGCUCAAUGGGACUGAGAUACGGCCCAGUCGCCUACGGGAGGCAGCAGGGGGGAAUAUUGCACAAUGGGCGGAAGCCGGAUGCAGCAACGCCGCGGGCGUGAUGACGGCCUGCGGGUUGUAAACCGCUUUCGCCUGUGACGAAGCGGGAGUGACGGUAAUGGGUAAAGAAGCACCGGCUAACUACGUG